AGUGAACGCUGGCGGUAGGCCUAACACAUGCAAGUCGAACGGCAGCACAGGAGAGCUUGCUCUCUGGGUGGCGAGUGGCGGACGGGUGAGGAAUACAUCGGAAUCUACCUUUUCGUGGGGGAUAACGUAGGGAAACUUACGCUAAUACCGCAUACGACCUACGGGUGAAAGUGGGGGACCGCAAGGCCUCACGCGAUUAGAUGAGCCGAUGUCCGAUUAGCUAGUUGGCGGGGUAAUGGCCCACCAAGGCGACGAUCGGUAGCUGGUCUGAGAGGAUGAGCAGCCACACUGGAACUGAGACACGGUCCAGACUCCUACGGGAGGCAGCAGUGGGGGGUAUUGGACAAUGGGCGCAAGCCUGAUCUAGCCAUACCGCGUGGGUGAAGAAGGCCUUCGGGUUGUAAAGCCCUUUUGUUGGGAAAGAAAUCCUGUCGAUUAAUACUCGGUGGGGAUGACGGUACCCAAAGAAUAAGCACCGGCUAACUUCGUGCCAGCCGCCGCCGUAAAAC
rnacentral:rRNA from 1 species